rnacentral:rRNA from 1 species
UGGGGAAUAUUGCACAAUGGGCGCAAGCCUGAUGCAGCCAUGCCGCGUGUAUGAAGAAGGCCUUCGGGUUGUAAAGUACUUUCAGCGGGGAGGAAGGCGAUAAGGUUAAUAACCUUGUCGAUUGACGUUACCCGCAGAAGAAGCACCGGCUCACUCCGUGCCAGCAGCCGCGGUAAUACGGAGGGUGCAAGCGUUAAUCGGAAUUACUGGGCGUAAAGCGCACGCAGGCGGUCUGUCAAGUCGGAUGUGAAAUCCCCGGGCUCAACCUGGGAACUGCAUUCGAAACUGGCAGGCUAGAGUCUUGUAGAGGGGGGUAGAAUUCCAGGUGUAGCGGUGAAAUGCGUAGAGAUCUGGAGGAAUACCGGUGGCGAAGGCGGCCCCCUGGACAAAGACUGACGCUCAGGUGCGAAAGCGUGGGGAGCAAACA